rnacentral:rRNA from 1 species
CAGCAGCCGCGGUAAUACGUAUGGGGCGAGCGUUGUUCGGAAUUAUUGGGCGUAAAGGGCGUCUAGGCGGGGAUUUAAGUUAGGUGUGAAAGCUAUGGGCUCAACCCAUAAACUGCAUCUAAAACUGGAUCUCUUGAGUUCGGGAGAGGAGAGCGGAAUUCCAGGUGUAGCGGUGAAAUGCGUAGAUAUCUGGAAGAACACCAGUGGCGAAGGCGGCUCUCUGGCCUAGAACUGACGCUGAAGCGCGAAAGCGUGGGGAGCGAACAGGAUUAGAUACCCUGGUAGUCCACGCUGUAAACGUUGUAUACUAGGUGUUAGUGGCUUGUCCACUAGUGCCGCAGCAAACGCAUUAAGUAUACCGCCUGGGGAGUACGCCCGCAAGGGUGAAACUCAAAGGAAUUGACGG